UCAGUCUUGUCUUCAGGAGUUCGGGCAGGGGUAUGGAGAGUGUUUACAACAGGGAGAAAUUACAUGAACAUUAUUGCCUUAGAGAACACAUAAAUUAAAAAUAAUUUUGGUAAAAUACCUUGCAACACAAAAUUUUUUGCUUGCAUUAUUUCAAUUUUCAUUUCUAUUGUCACGAGCACCUAGUUGGCCAGGUACAUUAUGAGAACUGCUGAAAGCUGAAAUUGGCUGAAAUUAUGUGAAAACAUUUAGUCAAGAAUGCACUAAGAAUCAUUAGCUAAAGAUUAGAUGUCGCCAACGUCGCCCUUGUUGUUCUUACAUCGUGAAACGAGGAAAAAUGGAGGAAACAAUUGGUUGCUAAUUUAUACUUAUAUUCCUGUGAUUUCAAAUACCGAAUUUAACUUCAUAUCAAAUAUGCAUACUGUCAGUCUGUCAGUCAUUCCAAGUUGCGCU